rnacentral:rRNA from 1 species
ACGCACGCUGGCGGCGUGCUUAACACAUGCAAGUCGAACGGAAAGGCCCCCAUCUUGGUGGGGGUGCUCGAGUGGCGAACGGGUGAGUAACACGUGGGUGAUCUGCCCUGUACUUCGGGAUAAGCUUGGGAAACUGGGUCUAAUACCGGAUAGGACCAUGGUUUAGUGUCUCAUGGUGGAAAGAUUAUUGUUUUGGUGCAGGAUGAGCUCGCGGCCUAUCAGCUUGUUGGUGGGGUAAUGGCCUACCAAGGCGUCGACGGGUAGCCGGCCUGAGAGGGUGGACGGCCACAUUGGGACUGAGAUACGGCCCAGACUCCUACGGGAGGCAGCAGUGGGGAAUAUUGCACAAUGGGCGCAAGCCUGAUGCAGCGACGCCGCGUGGGGGAUGACGGCCUUCGGGUUGUAAACUCCUUUCGUUAGGGACGAAGCCACGCUUUUGGGGUGUGGUGACGGUACCUUUGUUAAGAAGCACCGGCUAACUACGUG